UACGUAGGGGGCGAGCGUUGUCCGGAGUACUGGCGUAAAGCGCACGCAGGCGGUCUGCUAAGUUUGGAGUGACAGUUGGUGGCUUAACUGCCAAAGUGCUUCGAAAACUGACAGACUUGAGGGCUUACAGAGGGACACGGAAUUCCGGGUGGAGUGGUGAAAUGCGUAGAGAUCCGGAGGAACACCAAAGGCGAAGGCAGGUGUCCU
rnacentral:rRNA from 1 species